GUGCCUCAGGGGCUGCAUCCUGAUAGGGAUCAGACACCACUGGAAUUCUCUCCAAUAAAAGCUUACUUCAGGAAUUGAACCUAUACCCAGCUGAAGAGUAACUCAUUUAUAACCUGGCAGGAUCCACAAUUGCACCAGCCCCUCCACCAAGUAAGACAAUAAGAUUUGCAUUUCAGAUCCUUUCUUUAAAAACCCCUGGGUUCCCCCUACAAAUUGAAGAGUGGAAUUGUUUGCUGCCCUUCCCCUGCUAGCAUGGAAGCUAGCAGAUUUUUCUUUAUUAUCGGUUCUUUCUACAAGCCGCAAGCAGCCAGACGUUUUUGCAGGUUACAGGCUGACACAUCCAGUUCCUUAGAAAAAAACAUUUAAUAAGGGCUUAUAAACAGAAACCACAUCUGUGUCUCCCUGUGGUUUCCCAUGCUUCUCCCUCAGGCCCAGAGCUUGCAGACCAUAGGGGAAUGGUCAUUCAGAAGGGAUGUGCAGGACAGUUGAAGUAUGAUAACAUCAAGGUUGUUUGACCUAAGGGCUGGAUUUACAGUAGGUGCUUGCUCUCAUACAAGGAGCAAUAGAUAACCUGGGAAUCUCAGGGGCCUUCUGGGAGGCUCAGAAGCCAACUUAGCUGAAACAGUGGAUUCACAUCCAACAUGGAGUUGGCUUUAGCCUCCACAAGGACUUCUUCCAACCUCUUUUGGGGCCCCUCGCUUGCUUGAAAUCUGAUGUUCAGACCAAUUUUUGUAUUGGGUAAUAGCACUACUGGAGUACUGGGUAACACCUCAGCCCAUCCUCAGUCUCUCACACCUCUGUGUCACUUGGCUCAUAUGAGGCCAUCUCCAGGUGGACCAAAGAUGAGAGGAUAUGGGAGAUAGACUGUCCAUCACUUUUUCCUGGAGACUGACACCUGCUUCAAAGCGUGUGUGUGUGUGUGUGUGUGUGUGUGUAUGUGUGUGUAUGUGUGUGCAUGCACUUGCAGUCAUAUACGAUUUGCAGUGGCCAGUCUGUGGAUUUGGAUUUCAUUAUGCUGUUGAGCAUGUGUCUGUGAGUCUGUUUGCCAGGUGCAUAUGUGUGCUUGGGACUGUGUGGGCAUCCCUGGAGCCCUGUGCUUGUUCUUGGAGAAGCCCAAAGAAGAGGGGCUCAGGACAUUUCUGGCUGGCAACACCCCACCUCCAGGCCUGCUACCCCACCUCCCCGACCACACCCCAUCCUGCCUAUAUUGUAGUUUGUACUUUCAUUUGGUGGUUCCUGUUCCUGUGCUCUUGUCCAGUGUUCAAGAAGAAUGAGGAUUCGCUGACAGUUGAAGGUCGCCCACUACCGCAAAUUAUGCAGUCGAGUUUCCCACAUUUGGGGAAAUCGCAGGGGUCAGCACAUCCAGAGUGCAAUGGAUAA
rnacentral:lncRNA from 1 species